UGGGCCUUUAAUUUAGUCAGAUCUCUU
rnacentral:piRNA from 1 species